rnacentral:tRNA from 1 species
GCAAGAGUGAUACUCGAAUCAUAUACCGGCCUUUCGAGCCAGCUACUCGGGUUCGAAUCCCGACGGGAGCA